rnacentral:rRNA from 1 species
AACGAACGCUGGCGGCAGGCUUAACACAUGCAAGUCGAACGCUCGGAGCAAUCCGGGAGUGGCGGACGGGUGAGUAACGCGUGGGAACGUGCCCUGAGGUAGGGAAUAACUGCGGGAAACUGCAGCUAAUACCCUAUGAGCCCAUAGCAAUAUGGGGAAAGAUUUAUCGCCUUGGGAGCGGCCCGCGUCGGAUUAGCUAGUUGGUGGGGUAACGGCCUACCAAGGCUUCGAUCCGUAGCNGGUCUGAGAGGACGAUCAGCCACACUGGGACUGAGACACGGCCCAGACUCCUACGGGAGGCAGCAGUGGGGAAUCUUGCGCAAUGGGCGAAAGCCUGACGCAGCCAUGCCGCGUGAACGAUGAAGGCCUUAGGGUUGUAAAGUUUCUUUUGCCCGUGACGAUGAUGACGGUAACGGGAGAAUAA